UACGUAGGUGGCAAGCGUUGUCCGGAUUUACUGGGCGUAAAGAGCGCGCAGGCGGCCCACCAAGUACGAUGUGAAAUCUCCUCGCUCAACGGGGAGAGGCCAUUGGAAACGGUCGGGCUGGAGGGCAGUAGAGGCAGGCGGAAUUCCGGGUGGAGUGGUGAAAUGCGUAGAGAUCCGGAGGAACACCAGAGGCGAAGGCGGCCUGCUGGGCUGCACCUGACGCUGAACCGCGAAAGCCAGGGGAGCGAACGGG
rnacentral:rRNA from 1 species